rnacentral:rRNA from 1 species
UAGCUAGUUGGUGAGGUAACGGCCCACCAAGGCGACGAUCGGUAGCCGGACUGAGAGGUUGAACGGCCACAUUGGGACUGAGACACGGCCCAGACUCCUACGGGAGGCAGCAGUGGGGAAUAUUGCACAAUGGGGGAAACCCUGAUGCAGCGACGCCGCGUGGAGGAAGAAGGUCUUCGGAUUGUAAACUCCUGUUGUUGAGGAAGAUAAUGACGGUACUCAACAAGGAAGUGACGGCUAACUACGUGCCAGCAGCCGCGGUAAAACGUAGGUCACAAGCGUUGUCCGGAAUUACUGGGUGUAAAGGGAGCGCAGGCGGAAAGACAAGUUGGAAGUGAAAUCCAUGGGCUCAACCCAUGAACUGCUUUCAAAACUGUUUUUCUUGAGUAGUGCAGAGGUAGGCGGAAUUCCCGGUGUAGCGGUGGAAUGCGUAGAUAUCGGGAGGAACACCAGUGGCGAAGGCGGCCUACUGGGCACCAACUGACGCUGAGGCUCGAAAGUGUGGGUAGCAAACAGGAUUAGAUACCCUGUAGUCCACACCGUAAACGAUGAUUACUAGGUGUUGGAGGAUUGACCCCUUCAGUGCCGCAGUUAACACAAUAAGUAAUCCACCUGGGGAGUACGACCGCAAGGUUGAAACUCAAAGGAAUUGACGGGGGCCCGCACAAGCAGUGGAGUAUGUGGUUUAAUUCGACGCAACGCGAAGAACCUUACCAAGUCUUGACAUCCUGCGACGGUUCUGGAAACAGAGCUUUCCUUCGGGACGCAGAGACAGGUGGUGCAUGGUUGUCGUCAGCUCGUGUCGUGAGAUGUUGGGUUAAGUCCCGCAACGAGCGCAACCCUUAUGGUCAGUUACUACGCAAGAGGACUCUGGCCAGACUGCCGUUGACAAAACGGAGGAAGGUGGGGAUGACGUCAAAUCAUCAUGCCCUUUAUGACUAGGGCUACACACGUACUACAAUGGCGUUAAACAAAGAGAAGCAAGACCGCGAGGUGGAGCAAAACUCAGAAACAACGUCCCAGUUCGGACUGCAGGCUGCAACUCGCCUGCACGAAGUCGGAAUUGCUAGUAAUCAUGGAUCAGCAUGCCACGGUGAAUACGUUCCCGGGCCUUGUACACACCGCCCGUCACACCAUGAGAGCCGGGGGGACCCGAAGUCGGUAGUCUAACCGCAAGGAGGACGCCGCCGAAGGUAAAACUGGUGAUUGGGGUGAAGUCGUAACAAGGUAGCCGUAGGAGUACCUGCGGCUG